UUGGCUGGGCGGAAGUGGGCGGAGCGGAGGGGGUAACCGGCGGUCCUUUCCGGUGUCCGGGAACAGUUGAAGAAACGACCAAGGAACUGAGAGUCGCUCUUGAGGAUGACGCGGCACGGCAAGAACUGCACCGCGGGGGCCGUCUACACCUACCACGAGAAGAAGAAGGACACAGCGGCCUCGGGCUAUGGGACCCAGAACAUUCGACUGAGCCGAGAUGCUGUGAAGGACUUCGACUGCUGUUGCCUCUCCCUGCAGCCCUGCCACGAUCCUGUUGUCACGUGAGCUGGGAUCAGGGGUGGGUGGGGAGGGGCA